rnacentral:rRNA from 1 species
UGGACAACUACGGGAAACCGGAGCUAAUACCGGAUAAGAUAUCGAACCGCAUGGUUCGAUAGUGAAAGAUGGUUUUGCUAUCACUUAUAGAUGGACCCGCGCCGUAUUAGCUAGUUGGUGAGGUAACGGCUCACCAAAGGCAACGAUACGUAGCCGACCUGAGAGGGUGAUCGGCCACACUGGAACUGAGACACGGUCCAGACUCCUACGGGAGGCAGCAGUC